rnacentral:lncRNA from 1 species
UAGCCCAAUGCCACCAUCAAAUCUUAUAAGGAUUACGCUGUUUCCCCCCAGGGCACAUCCAAGUUGGCGGAACAAUCACAUUGGGGGGCUCUGGAACCAAGCGUGGGGAGUUCGAUUCCUGGUGGGAACCUUUGAUCCAAUAAAGGAGGAAUUAUUGGUGAAUUAAUCACCAUGGAGGAGGCUUCCUUUGGAGAAGGAGUAAAAGUCAUGUGGGAACCUAGAAACCAACAAGGGCAC